GACGAACGCUGGCGGCGUGCCUAAUACAUGCAAGUAGAACGCUGAAGAGAGGAGCUUGCUCUUCUUGGAUGAGUUGCGAACGGGUGAGUAACGCGUAGGUAACCUGCCUUGUAGCGGGGGAUAACUAUUGGAAACGAUAGCUAAUACCGCAUAACAAUGGAUGACCCAUGUCAUUUAUUUGAAAGGGGCAAAUGCUCCACUACAAGAUGGACCUGCGUUGUAUUAGCUAGUAGGUGAGGUAACGGCUCACCUAGGCGACGAUACAUAGCCGACCUGAGAGGGUGAUCGGCCACACUGGGACUGAGACACGGCCCAGACUCCUACGGGAGGCAGCAGUAGGGAAUCUUCGGCAAUGGGGGCAACCCUGACCGAGCAACGCCGCGUGAGUGAAGAAGGUUUUCGGAUCGUAAAGCUCUGUUGUAAGUCAAGAACGAGUGUGAGAGUGGAAAGUUCACACUGUGACGGUAGCUUACCAGAAAGGGACGGCUAACUACGUGCCAGCAGCCGCGGUAACACGUAGGUCCCGAGCGUUGUCCGGAUUUAUUGGGCGUAAAGCGAGCGCAGGCGGUUUGAUAAGUCUGAAGUUAAAGGCUGUGGCUCAACCAUAGUUCGCUUUGGAAACUGUCAAACUUGAGUGCAGAAGGGGAGAGUGGAAUUCCAUGUGUAGCGGUGAAAUGCGUAGAUAUAUGGAGGAACACCGGUGGCGAAAGCGGCUCUCUGGUCUGUAACUGACGCUGAGGCUCGAAAGCGUGGGGAGCGAACAGGAUUAGAUACCCUGGUAGUCCACGCCGUAAACGAUGAGUGCUAGGUGUUGGAUCCUUUCCGGGAUUCAGUGCCGCAGCUAACGCAUUAAGCACUCCGCCUGGGGAGUACGACCGCAAGGUUGAAACUCAAAGGAAUUGACGGGGGCCCGCACAAGCGGUGGAGCAUGUGGUUUAAUUCGAAGCAACGCGAAGAACCUUACCAGGUCUUGACAUCCCGAUGCUAUUUCUAGAGAUAGAAAGUUACUUCGGUACAUCGGUGACAGGUGGUGCAUGGUUGUCGUCAGCUCGUGUCGUGAGAUGUUGGGUUAAGUCCCGCAACGAGCGCAACCCCUAUUGUUAGUUGCCAUCAUUCAGUUGGGCACUCUAGCGAGACUGCCGGUAAUAAACCGGAGGAAGGUGGGGAUGACGUCAAAUCAUCAUGCCCCUUAUGACCUGGGCUACACACGUGCUACAAUGGUUGGUACAACGAGUUGCGAGUCGGUGACGGCAAGCUAAUCUCUUAAAGCCAAUCUCAGUUCGGAUUGUAGGCUGCAACUCGCCUACAUGAAGUCGGAAUCGCUAGUAAUCGCGGAUCAGCACGCCGCGGUGAAUACGUUCCCGGGCCU
rnacentral:rRNA from 1 species